AUCCAACUGACGAGUCUCAAAUAAUACGAAAUGAGCAUCAAACUGGAU
rnacentral:hammerhead_ribozyme from 1 species